CGAAUUCGCCCUUCCUACGGGAGGCAGCAGUGGGGAAUAUUGCGCAAUGGGCGGAAGCCUGACGCAGCGACGCCGCGUGGGGGAUGACGGCCUUCGGGUUGUAAACCUCUUUCGACCUUGACGAAGCCUUUCGGGGUGACGGUAGGGGUAGAAGAAGCACCGGCCAACUACGUGCCAGCAGCCGCGGCAAUACGUAGGGUGCGAGCGUUGUCCGGAAUUAUUGGGCGUAAAGAGCUCGUAGGCGGUCUGUCGCGUCGGUCGUGAAAACUUGGGGCUUAACCCUGAGCUUGCGGUCGAUACGGGCAUGACUGGAGUUCGGCAGGGGAGACUGGAAUUCCUGGUGUAGCGGUGAAAUGCGCAGAUAUCAGGAGGAACACCGGUGGCGAAGGCGGGUCUCUGGGCCGAUACUGACGCUGAGGAGCGAAAGCGUGGGGAGCGAACAGGAUUAGAUACCCUGGUAGUCCACGCCGUAAACGGUGGGCGCUAGGUGUGGGGGCCAUUCCACGGUCUCUGUGCCGCAGCUAACGCAUUAAGCGCCCCGCCUGGGGAGUACGGCCGCAAGGCUAAAACUCAAAGGAAUUGACGG
rnacentral:rRNA from 1 species